CGUAGCUGGUCUGAGAGGACGAUCAGCCACACUGGGACUGAGACACGGCCCAGACUCCUACGGGAGGCAGCAGUGGGGAAUCUUGCGCAAUGAGCGAAAGCUUGACGCAGCGACGCCGCGUGAGGGAAGAAGGCCUUCGGGUUGUAAACCUCUUUCAGGAGGGACGAAGCCGCUCGGGUUAAUACCCCAGAGGGUGACGGUACCUCCAGAAGAAGCCCCGGCUAACUACGUGCCAGCAGCCGCGGUAAUACGUAGGGGGCUAGCGUUGUCCGGAUUUAUUGGGCGUAAAGAGCGUGUAGGCGGCCAGGUAGGUCUGCUGUGAAAACUCGAGGCUCAACCUCGAGACGUCGGCAGAAACCAUCUGGCUAGAGUCCGGAAGAGGAGAGUGGAAUUCCUGGUGUAGCGGUGAAAUGCGCAGAUAUCAGGAAGAACACCCGUGGCGAAGGCGGCUCUCUGGGACGGUACUGACGCUGAGACGCGAAAGCGUGGGGAGCGAACAGGAUUAGAUACCCUGGUAGUCCACGCCGUAAACGAUGGGUGCUAGGUGUGGGGGGUGUGGACUCCCUCCGUGCCGAAGCUAACGCAUUAAGCACCCCGCCUGGGGAGUACGGCCGCAAGGCUAAAACUCAAAGGAAUGGACG
rnacentral:rRNA from 1 species